AGUCGAGCGAACGGACGAGAAGCUUGCUUUUCUGAUGUUAGCGGCGGACGGGUGAGUAACACGUGGAUAACCUACCUAUAAGACUGGGAUAACUUCGGGAAACCGGAGCUAAUACCGGAUAAUAUUUUGAACCGCAUGGUUCAAAAGUGAAAGACGGUCUUGCUGUCGCUUAUAGAUGGAUCCGCGCUGCAUUAGCUAGUUGGUAAGGUAACGGCCUACCAAGGCAACGAUGCAUAGCCGACCUGAGAGGGUGAUCGGCCACACUGGAACUGAGACACGGUCCAGACUCCUACGGGAGGCAGCAGUAGGGAAUCUUCCGCAAUGGGCGAAAGCCUGACGGAGCAACGCCGCGUGAGUGAUGAAGGUCUUCGGAUCGUAAAACUCUGUUAUUAGGGAAGAACAUAUGUGUAAGUAACUGUGCACAUCUUGACGGUACCUAAUCAGAAAGCCACGGCUAACUACGUGCCAGCAGCCGCGGUAAUACGUAGGUGGCAAGCGUUAUCCGGAAUUAUUGGGCGUAAAGCGCGCGUAGGCGGUUUUUUAAGUCUGAUGUGAAAGCCCACGGCUCAACCGUGGAGGGUCAUUGGAAACUGGAAAACUUGAGUGCAGAAGAGGAAAGUGGAAUUCCAUGUGUAGCGGUGAAAUGCGCAGAGAUAUGGAGGAACACCAGUGGCGAAGGCGACUUUCUGGUCUGUAACUGACGCUGAUGUGCGAAAGCGUGGGGAUCA
rnacentral:rRNA from 1 species